GUCUAUGGCCAUACCACCCUGAACGCGCCCAAUCUCGUCUGAUCUCGGAAGCUAAGCAGGGUCGGGCCUGGUUAGUACUUGGAUGGGAGGCCCAUAGCUGUUGUAAGAU
rnacentral:rRNA from 1 species